rnacentral:rRNA from 2 species
AUUGAUUGGUGCUUGCAUCAUGAUUUACAUUUGAGUGAGUGGCGAACUGGUGAGUAACACGUGGGAAACCUGCCCAGAAGCGGGGGAUAACACCUGGAAACAGAUGCUAAUACCGCAUAACAACUUGGACCGCAUGGUCCRAGUUUGAAAGAUGGCUUCAGCUAUCACUUUUGGAUGGUCCCGCGGCGUAUUAGCUAGAUGGUGGGGUAACGGCUCACCAUGGCAAUGAUACGUAGCCGACCUGAGAGGGUAAUCGGCCACAUUGGGACUGAGACACGGCCCAAACUCCUACGGGAGGCAGCAGUAGGGAAUCUUCCACAAUGGACGAAAGUCUGAUGGAGCAACGCCGCGUGAGUGAAGAAGGGUUUCGGCUCGUAAAACUCUGUUGUUAAAGAAGAAUAUAUCUGAGAGUAACUGUUCAGGUAUUGACGGUAUUUAACCAGAAAGCCACGGCUAACUACGUGCCAGCAGCCGCGGUAAUACGUAGGUGGCAAGCGUUGUCCGGAUUUAUUGGGCGUAAAGCGAGCGCAGGCGGUUUUUUAAGUCUGAUGUGAAAGCCUUCGGCUCAACCGAAGAAGUGCAUCGGAAACUGGGAAACUUGAGUGCAGAAGAGGACAGUGGAACUCCAUGUGUAGCGGUGAAAUGCGUAGAUAUAUGGAAGAACACCAGUGGCGAAGGCGGCUGUCUGGUCUGUAACUGACGCUGAGGCUCGAAAGUAUGGGUAGCAAACAGGAUUAGAUACCCUGGUAGUCC